UCUACACACAGUUCCUGAGACUACUUAAUUUCAUUGAAGAGGAGUGGAUUCUUUAGAACUCCUAAUGAUGAAGCCUUGUACUCUCAAAGAAAAUUAAACUAAGUUCCAAAGUUAAAUGAGCAACUUUAUCAUGAGGUACCUUUGAAUAGUAAUAUCAUGGUAAGACAUAGUUGUUAGUGCACCUGGUAGAGACUUUGUGUUGGACCAUGAAACCACUUGUGUUUUGUUUUUUCCCUUAAGCUAGGAACUUUUAAAUUUGUGAAGAUACUGAACAAAUUUAGGUGUUCUUCAGAAUAGGUAUGUCAGGUAGAAAUCACUCUCCUGUACUGAUAUUCAACUGAAAAUCUAUUUUUUUCCUCAGAAAUAUAUCCUCUGGCCUGUGAAUGACAAGUUUAGGAUUUAAGAAAAGUGAGAUUACCAGAAGUAAAGGAAGAAGCAAAAAAUAUAGGUGAAGCAUAAAUUUCAGAGCUGAAAUGUUCUGGGCUUUUUUCCCCCCCUUUAUUUAUUGGAUAGAAAUGGGGAGGGGAGGGGGAGGUAGAGAGGGAGAGAGAUAGAGACACCUGCAGCCCUGCUUCACCAUUUACAAAGCUUACCGUCUGCAGAUGACCAAGGGCUUGAGCCUGGGACAUUGUGCACUAUAAUAACAUGUGCGCUCAACCAGGUGUGCCACCAGCCAGCCCCUGCAAUGUUCUGCUCUGUAGCCACGAGCUGCACAUGCCUGUUAAGCAUUUGAACACACAUGGUUUAUAUUUGAAACUAUAGGAUAAAAUGCACACUGGAUCUUGGCUUAGUAUGAGAAAAAAAUGUAGAAUAAUGUUUUGCAUUGAUUUAUUGAAAUGAACAAGAUUUGAAUAGUACUUUAAUUUAAAAUAUACUAAUUAGUUUGCCACUUCCUUUAACAGUAGUUACUAGGGUAUCAUAAAUUAUGUUUGUGGUAGUGCUACUUCAAAGUCACUUAUGAAACUUAAACAAAAAACAAAAAAAAAACCAAAUGCCUGACCACCACUCAGCUGAAUCAGAUUCUCUUCCUUUCUCCGUCCCUCCUUCCAUCUUGACAGCUCUUACUGGGAGUGAGGUUCCUGUUAGUGAAAUGAUUUUCCAACAUGAUGUAUAGCUCCUGGUAAAUUCUGAACAUAAGAACAUAAGAAUGCUUAAACUCAGUUUAUUUUACAUGGUAAAUAAGCAUCCCUGAAAGAGUCAACAGAUACUAAAAUUCUCUAAAAACUAAUUUGCGUUUAUGUAUAAAGUACAGCUGGGUUCCAAGUUCAAAUUUUUAUAAACAUUAUUUUCCAUCUGUGAUUUUUUUCAUAUAACAAUAUUUUUAAAGAUCAUGCUGUUACUUUGUGACAUUGUCCCUUCCUUGAAGGCCAUCUGGAAUUCUGGCUUCCUUCCCACUGAGGUAUCAGCAGCACUCCCCUCUCCUCUCCCUGUGACAGCUCUGGCGAACUCCUAAGCACUUCCUGACAUGUCUCCUUGAGGACAGCAACCCUCCCCCUCUCCUCUCAGGACUCUCUUACCCCCUCACUCUACUCCCAACCACCUCAUGCUCACCCUCCAGGCUCUGAACUUUUUCAAAAAUAGCUUACUGAGCCUGUAGCUUGGGGUUCAGUGCCCCACCACUUAGCACUCCGUGUGUAAUUGUCAGCUGUCUCCCUCUUAGUUCUGCACACUGAGAACAAGGCUGCCUGGCUGGUCACCUGGCAUCUCCACGGCCUCCCAUGAUUCCAAGCUCAAAGUUGGAAAACUGAAUAAAUAGAUGGGAGAGGGGAGCGUGGAGGGGGGAAGAGAGAAGGAAAACAAGCUAAUAGACCAGUGAAAUUCAGGUUUUGUUUUUAUCAAGUGAAAAAAAACUGAGCUCUCCCCCACAUACUCUGCUGUUGCUUCUGGCCUCGCUUUCUAUGUCUGGGCUCAUCUCACUCGGGGAGCAUGAUGAUUAUCCCUCCAUACCUUUUUUUUUUUUAACCAGAGGACUGUUCAGCUCUGGUUUAUGGUGGUGUGGGGGAACUGAACCUGGGACUUUGGAGUCUCUUUGCAUCACUGACCCCCCUAUCUCCCUGCCCUAUAAUUAUCCCCCUUAUAUGUACAAGCUGUUUAGAUCUUCUAAUAUUUUUUGAUGGAUAGCUUCCAUUAAAUCCUUAAAUAUAGCUACCAAUCACUGCUUCUCACUGUUCAAAUUAUAGAGUUUUUACUAAUUUAAAGUCUUUUUUUUUUUUUUAACCAGAGCAUUGCUCAGCCCUGGCAUAUGCCCUGGCAUAUGGUUGAACAUAGGGACCCUGGUGUCUCGGGCAUGGAAAUCUUUGGCAUAACUAUCACUCUGUCUCCCCCAUUUAGUAGUUGAAGACUUAGGGGUUACUUAAGUUUGAGGACUCAUUAAGCAAAUGUUAAGAUCUUUUAGGGGCUUAGCAGUGAUGCCCUCGGCUGAGUGCAGAUGUUACUGUGAGCAUGUGCAAGGACCCAGGUACAAGCCCCACCUACAGAGAGGAAGCUUCCUGUAGGUGUCGCUAUCUCCUCCUUCCCACUCAGUUUCUUUUUCUCUCUCCAGUAAAUAAAAUAUUUUUUAAAAAAACAACAAAAAUUAUUAAUUUACUUAUUAAUUUCCUACACAUGUCUAGAAUUCUAUUUCCCAAAUCAUAGUUUGUUUUCAUGGCCUGAAUCAGACUGACUCAUUUAUUUUACUUGAAUGAGAGAGAAGAAAGCACUGCUUUAGCUGUGGCUCGUGACAAUGCCAGGGAUUGAACCUGGUACCUGGAGCCUCAGACAUGAAAGUCGUUUGCAUUAUGCUAUCUCCUUGGCCUUGAAACAGAUUAAUUUACUUACAGACUUGAAGCAUUAUCUGAAUAUAGAUAAUCGUCUCAUUUUAGGCACAUUUCUUCUGGGAAUGUAGCCUUUAUGAAUCAGAUUAAGUCAAUAAGAAUAGGUUUUUAAAAAGUCAUCUUCUACAUUUUACACAAAAUUUGUUUUAAAAUUAAUUUGACCCCUGACAUGUGAGUAUUAAAGGAGUGACUGGAAGCAGCAGGACUGGGCAAAGUUAGAGGUGUUCUUUUUGAUAGCCUUUUCAUUCUUUCUUCAUUCCAGCUUUCUCUUCAGAUUAGACUGAGUUUUCAGAAGUGUUCUCCUUGCCUAAUGCCAUCAUGGAUGGUCCAGCCAGCCCUUCGCUGCAUGAGGAUUAUGCCACUUAAGGAAAUGUGGACUUAGAGAUAAUGGUCAUUAUUCUUGUUAUUGUCUCACCUCCAUUGAGUGAUAGAUAGUUGUGAUGAGUUUGCCCCUUAAAGAAAUCACUCUAGGUUUCUUUCUUGAUUCCCUUUACUUUUUUACUUUUUUCAGGAGUGGGUGAAAGGGGCAGGUAUGAAGUUAAGACAGUCAUUAAUAUAUAUAUAUAUAUAUAUGCAGUGAAAUCUGAGGUAGGAAACCUAAUUCAAAAUAUAUAACGGUGAGUAUAACGAUGAGCAAAGAUCAGUGUAGCAUUUUCUGUAAUAGUGUUUGUAAGCUCAAAGCAAUACACUGUUUUAAAGGACUUGAUUUAUGAGAUAGGAAAUGGGAGACCAGAGCACCCCACCCAGCUGCUCUGCUAUGCAGCCAUGCAGAGCUGGAGCCCUAGGCCUGCAAGUCUCUGCUCCAGUGUUGACCUUUAACCCUGACCCAGUAGGGAGUCUUUUCUCAUCUCUGACACUGAACUUUCUGAGUGGGGCUGCUUUAUCGUUCGCCUAACCCAGCUUUCUUUCCAGAUAACUUGUUUCUCAAGAACAAAGCAUUCUAGUUAGAUUUAACACCACUUUAGCAUGCACCUUACAUAUCUUUAUUUACUGGAUAGAGCUAGAGAGAAAGGGGAGGUAGAGAUGGAAAGAGAAAGACAGCUGCAGGUGGGUGGGGAGGUGAACCCUUGUCCUUGCACAUGGUGCUGUGAGCUCUCCAGUCACGACCACCCCAUGCACUGUUUUGAGAGAAAAUUAGUAAGCACACGUCAUUAGAAAACCAACACCGACUCAAAAUUAUCUAGGGACUGGCAAGUGUGAAUUGAAUACAUGUAUUCAAGCGGCAGUCUGGCCGAUAUAAAUGCGGUCUGUGAACUUCCUAUAUAAUGUGUUAUUCUGUAGAGAAUUAUUAAGGA